rnacentral:rRNA from 1 species
UACGGAGGGUCCAAGCGUUAUCCGGAAUCAUUGGGUUUAAAGGGUCCGUAGGCGGUUUUGUAAGUCAGUGGUGAAAGCCCAUCGCUCAACGGUGGAACGGCCAUUGAUACUGCAAGACUUGAAUUAUUAGGAAGUAACUAGAAUAUGUAGUGUAGCGGUGAAAUGCUUAGAGAUUACAUGGAAUACCAAUUGCGAAGGCAGGUUACUACUAAUUGAUUGACGCUGAUGGACGAAAAGCGUGGGGAGCGAACAGG